UACGAGGGGGGCGAGCGUUGUUCGGAAUUAUUGGGCGUAAAGGGUGCGUAGGCGGUUCCGCAAGUCCUGUGUGAAAUCUUCGGGCUCAACUCGAAGUCUGCAUCGGAAACUGUCGGGCUGGAGUAUGGGAGAGGUGAGUGGAAUUUCCGGUGUAGCGGUGAAAUGCGUAGAUAUCGGGAGGAACACCGGUGGCGAAGGCGGCGAUCUGGGUCGAUACUGACGCUGAGGUGCGAAAGCGUGGGGAGCAAACAGG
rnacentral:rRNA from 1 species